rnacentral:rRNA from 1 species
UGGGGAAUAUUGGACAAUGGGGGCAACCCUGAUCCAGCAAUGCCGCGUGUGUGAAGAAGGUCUUCGGAUUGUAAAGCACUUUCGACGGGGACGAUGAUGACGGUACCCGUAGAAGAAGCCCCGGCUAACUUCGUGCCAGCAGCCGCGGUAAUACGAAGGGGGCUAGCGUUGCUCGGAAUGACUGGGCGUAAAGGGCGUGUAGGCGGUUUACACAGUCAGAUGUGAAAUCCCCGGGCUUAACCUGGGAGCUGCAUUUGAUACGUGUAGACUAGAGUGUGAGAGAGGGUUGUGGAAUUCCCAGUGUAGAGGUGAAAUUCGUAGAUAUUGGGAAGAACACCGGUGGCGAAGGCGGCAACCUGGCUCAUGACUGACGCUGAGGCGCGAAAGCGUGGGGAGCAAACAGGUUAGAUACCCUGGUAGUCCACGCUGUAAACGAUGUGUGCUAGAUGUUGGGUAACUUUGAUUAUUCAGUGUCGCAGUUAACGCGUUAAGCAC